GGUUCUGAUCUUCUCUCUGAAACACUCUCUCUUUUUCUUUGUUUCUGUAAAACCCUAGCUUAGUUCUCUUCUUAGUUACCAUGGCUAUCAGAUAAUGCAUGUCGAUCAUUUUCCAAUCACAUAAACCAUAUAUUAUUACACCAAAGAAAACGAAAGUGUGAUCCAGAGAAAAACAAAGAGAAGACAUGCUUGCAAUGAACGAGCCUCCAUCAAAAUCUCACGUGUGCUUUCUUGCGUGGUCUUCAUGAUCAUCUUUACUGUAACUGAAUGCAGUGAAACUGGUGAUGGCCCUAAACUCGACAAUGUGGCAAAUGAUGCAAUUGUUGGUGGCAGCAAAAUAUAUCUUGAUUGCUUCCUUCGAAAGUCACCUGAUGAUGGAGUAUUAUACUACUGUUGCUCGAAAACCGACCUAUGUUUUUCAGAUCGAAAGAGUUGCGAUGACUGCUGCAUUAAUCCAAAAGACCCCAAGUGCUAAUUGCUCCUAGGUACUCCGAUCUAUUCCCAUGAAGAAAUUUAUAUCAAAAUCAGUCAUGCUAUAUAUGUCAAUGGAUAUGUACUGCUCUUUUGAUGUUUUCACAUAUUAUCAAUAAGAUGUUUAAUUAGCAGUAUGAUGUUUAGUUGUUGAUUUG